AAUCAUAACUAGAGCCUCGAUAGCUCAACGGUUGAGGAGCGGACUGAAUUCCGAAAGGUCGGCGGAUCAAACCCCACCCGUUGCACUAUUGUCGUACCCACUCCCGGCACAAGCCUUACGCUUCAUUGGAGGGGAAAGGUGAGUAUUAGCAUGGCUAAUAUUCUUUAAA